CUGGAAGCAGCCGGAGCAGCAGGUCUGGGGGGAGCUGCUCAGCUGCACUGCCCCCUUAAUUCAGGCUGCUGCUGAGCUUGCCGGAGCUGCUUUCCAGUCCCUUGGGAGGAGACUGCCGUCCAGACCUGACUACAGAGUUUAAAAUGCAAUGGCCAGAACACAAGGAAGUGUCACUGGAAGCAUGUGGACAUGGCCUCCGGGACUGUUGAUGAUGACGGUGAUCCUUUGGAGUCAGCAGGGGAAUGUACAAGGUCAAGGAAGAAGACAAUGAAGUGCUCUACUAUCUAAAACGUGAAGUGUGGU